rnacentral:rRNA from 1 species
GUCGUAACAAGGUUUCCGUAGGUGAACCUGCGGAAGGAUCAUUAUCGAAUUCUUUCAGAGACGGGUUGUUGCUGGCCUUCACGGGCAUGUGCACGCCCCGAUCGAAACAUACACCUGUGCACUCUUUGUAGCGGGGAGGGGGCGACUCCUCUUCCGCUAUGUUUUUACACACCCUUUUAAAACAAGUCUACAGAAUGUAUACGUCGUGUGCGCCUUAAAAAAGCGAACCGCAAAAAAACUAUAUAACUUUCAACAACGGAUCUCUUGGCUCUCGCAUCGAUGAAGAACGCAGCGAAACGCGAUAUGUAAUGUGAAUUGCAGAAUUCAGUGAAUCAUCGAAUCUUUGAACGCACCUUGCGCUCCUUGGUAUUCCGAGGAGCAUGCCUGUUUGAGUGUCAUUAAAUUAUCAAACCCUCCGUCUUUGUUGACGGGGUGGCUUUGGACUUGGAGGCUGCUGGCGCGAGUCGGCUCCUCUCUAAAUGCAUUAGCGGAAUGUCUUUUUCGUGGUCGGUGUGAUAAUUAUCUACGCCGUUCAAGCCGCGAAGCAAGCGUUUGGCUUCUAACCGUCCCUUGCGGACAACAUACAUCAAUUUUGACCUCAAAUCAGGUAGGAUUA